ACGGCGCUUCUCCUUAACUUUUAUCAAACCAUCAUAUAUAUUCACGUAAGUUGGUAGCUUCAACUAUUAAUACCAACUCAUGAACUUGAUUUAAAUUCUAUUGGCCUUCUGCUUUACCUUCCUCAAAUAUGUUCUUGUAGGUAUGUGAAUCAACGGUGUUACCAUAGGUUUGAUUUAAAUACUGUUGAAGAUGAGGUUUAUUCAUUCAGCAGAAACCUCUAUGAUGCAAUUUGAUUGGUCUCUUGUCAGAGUUUAUUUUUCUUUUCCUCGACCGUGAUUUCCUUGAUUAAUUGAGUCUAGAUUGAAAAUGGUAAUGGAUGCAUAUGUAAGUGUUGCACCUUCAGGUUGGUAAUGGAUGCAUAUGCAGGUGUUGGUCCUUCAUGUCAUUCUAUCACAUUGCCAAUGGAUUCAUGUGUGUUUAUUUUUGAAAUGGUAAUUGAUGUAUAUGUAGACAAGAGGAAGACAAGAAAUAUCUUUGUUGCAAAUA